GAUUGAUACUGGAAGUUGGGGCAUAGCCGAGGUCGAUGGCCCAUUUGCACGGAUCGCCAUGUCGCCGAUGAAGCCCAUUUUCUGUCGGCGCCCUUCUUACCCCCAUAAAAUCGCCCAGGCCCUGAAAUACCGAUGUAGAUGAGAAUUGAAACUGCGGUGGAUUAUGGAAUCCUUCGAUAUUGGGGCCUGCUCCAUUCGGGGGGAAUGAGGUUGACGAUAGAUCUCCAGUAUGAUUGGGCCUCCCAAAACUUGGCAUGUUUUCCUUCCAUGGUACACCCCUCCGAGAAGCCAAACCAUGUGAGCCUCCAACAAAAGGCAAGUUGUUCGAAAUUGACCCUACAAAUGCUGUUGGCUCGCCUUCAUCAACAGUUGGGUUAAGCUCUAGUUUGGGAUCGGACUGAAUGCUGAUGAUUGUCUGACCGCGAGUAACCUUGCCUUCAGACUGGAUUGUCUUCUUGUCAAGACCCGGUGAAUGCUGUUGUGUUUUAUAUGAAGGCCCCUCUGUAAUCUCGGUAUGCCAGCUAGGAGAAUUGGCAUGAUGGACGUGAUAGACGAUACACGUGUAGGAGAACGUUGAGGACAUUGAAAGCGAGACGGAUCCAACUGCGGGGAAGCAAUCAAUUGCUGCUGUGGUCGUUUUCCCUUGUACUGUGAUCGCAGCAUUGGGUUUGGUUGAGGUGCUCGGAUUUUCCAUUGACUCCAAAUUUCUUUGUCCUUAUCCAUCAUCGGGUCCAGUGAUGCACUGUGGGAUCCGAGGAAUUGGUCUUGUGAAAAAGGUUGGGCUGCAAGACACAGUGUCAGGUAUUUUCUGAAUGCAAGUCG
rnacentral:sRNA from 1 species